UACGAAGGGGACUAGCGUUGUUCGGAAUCACUGGGCGUAAAGCGCACGUAGGCGGAUUUGUAAGUCAGGGGUGAAAUCCCGGGGGCUCAACCUCGGAACUGCCUUUGAUACUGCGAAUCUUGAGUCCGAUAGAGGUGGGUGGAAUUCCUAGUGUAGAGGUGAAAUUCGUAGAUAUUAGGAAGAACACCAGUGGCGAAGGCGGCCCACUGGAUCGGUACUGACGCUGAGGUGCGAAAGCGUGGGGAGCAAACAGG
rnacentral:rRNA from 1 species